AUUGAACGCUGGCGGCAGGCUUAACACAUGCAAGUCGAGCGGAAACGGAGGUAGCUUGCUACCAGACGUCGAGCGGCGAACGGGUGAGUAACGCGUAGGAAUCUACCUAGUAGAGGGGGAUAGCCCGGGGAAACUCGGAUUAAUACCGCAUACGCCCUAAACGGGAAAGGACAGGGAGUCUUCGGACCUUGCGCUAUUAGAUGAGCCUGCGUCGGAUUAGCUAGUUGGUAAGGUAAAGGACUUACCAAGGCGACGAUCCGUAGCUGGUCUGAGAGGAUGAUCAGCCACACUGGAACUGAGACACGGUCCAGACUCCUACGGGAGGCAGCAGUGGGGAA
rnacentral:rRNA from 1 species